ACAAACCAGGCAAGGCAGUUCAGCAUAGAGUUCCUCUUACCUUUCAAAAUCAGAGAUCAAUUCUUUGGCCUGAUCCCAUUUCUGUAGUGUAUCUUAUAAGAAUCACUGCAAUAAAUGAAGAAAUAUUCUGGAAAUGUUGCAGGAGUUAAAAUGGAAAUCACUGUACCACAAAUGUCUAGAAAAGCACCAGAAGUCAUUCUAGAAUGCAAAAAUGGGCAAACAUUAACUGAAGGCAUUUCCUGCAGAACAGAAGAGAAAUGUACAUCAGGGUAUGCAUACCAGUAAAUUAAGAAGUCCAACCUCAAACUGGUACAAAUCAGCAGUUCUUUCAAAUGCUCUUUUGUGCUCUUGUGAGAGGCCAAGGGACUGCUGCAAGUCCAUUGUUUCCUUUCACUGUUCUCCUUGAAAUGAGCUCUUUGAUCUGAACUGAAAGAGAAAUGGGCCAUUCAGCAUAGUGACUACAAAGUAUCCACUGAGUAAUGGGAAAACGUGCUACUCUGAGUUCCUGUGUAUUUACUAAUCAAUGUGAAACUAUGAUCAUUUACAUUCAAGAUUCUGGACUACAAAUUCUGUAAGGAGCAUGAAAAAAAAUGUGCUGAGAGUGUUUGACAAAAAUCCAGGAUAUGUUUCAAAUCCUCACACCCCAUUCAGCAGAUAAAUUCAACUAUGCUCCAUUAUAAGCCUGAAAAUCUGAUAGACUGGCCUUCUCCAUAAAGCCAGAAUAAAAAAAUCCUUCAUUGUGGAUCUUUCCUGCCCUUCCUUCACCCCCAAAUAAUUGCUUUCUUUAAUGCUCUCUUCACCAAAAAUAAAUAGAGACACAGCUCAAGCUGAAAUAGAAGCUGAA